UUACGGCCAAAUCACGUUGAAACACCGGAUCCUGUACGAUCAACGAAGUUAAGCAACGUUGAACCUGGUCAGUACGUAGAUGGGUAACCCCUUGGGAAUACUAGGCGUU